UACGGAGGGUGCAAGCGUUAUCCGGAUUCACUGGGUUUAAAGGGUGCGUAGGUGGGUUGGUAAGUCAGUGGUGAAAUCUCCGUGCUUAACAUGGAAACUGCCAUUGAUACUACUGAUCUUAAUUUUCAGGAGGUAAGCGGAAUAUGUCAUGUAGCGGUGAAAUGCUUAGAUAUGACAUAGAACACCAAUUGCGAAGGCAGCUUACUACAGGAAUAUUGACACUGAUGCACGAAAGCGUGGGGAUCAAACAGG
rnacentral:rRNA from 1 species